rnacentral:tRNA from 1 species
UGUACUGUGGCUUAGUUGGUUAAAGCACCGGACCAGCGAUACGUGGGUUCGAAUCCCACCAAAACAA